UCUUGGUCANNNNAGAGGAAGUAAAAGUCGUAACAAGGUUUCCGUAGGUGAACCUGCGGAAGGAUCAUUAUUGAAUAAACUUGCCCAGGUUGUUGCUGGCCCUCAUGGGUAUGUGCACGCUUGGCAUCUUUACUUCUCCACCUGUGCACAUAUUGUAGGCCUGGAGUCUGUUGUUGAUUCAUUUCGAGUUGGGACUGCUGUGCUGUUGUAGCCAGCUUUUCCUUGCAUUCUCCAGGUCUAUGUCAUUAUCACAACCUCAUAAUGUGUUUAGAAUGAGACCUAUAAAAGUUAAAUAUACAACUUUCAGCAACGGAUCUCUUGGCUCUCGCAUCGAUGAAGAACGCAGCGAAAUGCGAUAAGUAAUGUGAAUUGCAGAAUUCAGUGAAUCAUCGAAUCUUUGAACGCAUCUUGCGCUCCUUGGUAUUCCGAGGAGCAUGCCUGUUUGAGUGUCAUUCAAGUUCUCAACCACAUCAAUAUUCNGUUGAUGUGCGCUUGGACGUGGGGGUUUAUUUUGCAGGCUUCUUUGAAGUCGGCUCCCCUGAAAUGUAUUAGUGGUAUCUGAGCAGAAGAAACUACUACAGGUGUGAUAACUAUCUACAUCUUGGUAUGCUGCAUGAACAGAUUGCACUGCUUCUAAUGAGUGAAACCCCUUUUUGGGGCCACAUUUUGAUGAAUUUGACCUCAAAUCAGGUAGGACUACCCGCUGAACUUAAGCAUAUCA
rnacentral:rRNA from 1 species